ACGAACGCUGGCGGCGUGCUUAACACAUGCAAGUCGAACGGAAAGGCCCUGCUUGCAGGGUACUCGAGUGGCGAACGGGUGAGUAACACGUGGGUGAUCUGCCCUGCACUUCGGGAUAAGCCUGGGAAACUGGGUCUAAUACCGGAUAGGAGCCAUUUUUAGUGUGAUGGUUGGAAAGUUUUUUCGGUGUAGGAUGAGCUCGCGGCCUAUCAGCUUGUUGGUGGGGUAAUGGCCUACCAAGGCGGCGACGGGUAGCCGGCCUGAGAGGGUGGACGGCCACAUUGGGACUGGGAUUAGGCCCCGACUCCUACGGGAGGCAGCAGUGGGGAAUAUUGCACAAUGGGCGCCAGCCUGAUGCAGCGACGCCGCGUGGGGGAUGACGGCCUUCGGGUUGUAAACUCCUUUCGCUAGGGACGAAGCUUUUUGUGACGGUACCUAGAUAAGAAGCACCGGCUAACUACGUG
rnacentral:rRNA from 1 species